CUAGCGUUGCUCGGAAUCACUGGGCGUAAAGCGCACGUAGGCGGCUUUUUAAGUCAGGGGUGAAAUCCUGGAGCUCAACUCCAGAACUGCCUUUGAUACUGAGAAGCUUGGAGUCCGGGAGAGGUGAGUGGAACUGCGAGUGUAGAGGUGAAAUUCGUAGAUAUUCGCAAGAACACCAGUGGCGAAGGCGGCUCACUGGCCCGGUACUGACGCUGAGGUGCGAAAGCGUGGGGAGCAAACAGG
rnacentral:rRNA from 1 species